rnacentral:rRNA from 1 species
ACCCGUUGAUCCUGCGGGAGAUUGCUGCUGUAGGGAUUCGACUAAGCCAUGCAAGUUUUCCAGCAAUGGAGGCGAAAGGCUCAGUAACACGUCGUUAAUCUGCCCUAAGGUUGAGGAUACCCUCGGAAAACUGAGGACAAUACUCAAUAAGAUAUUCUGCCUGGAAUGGCGAUUAUCCUAAACUCGCGCCUUAGGAUGGGACGGCGGCGGAUUAGGCUGUUGGCGAGGUAAAGGCUCACCAAACCGAAGAUCCGUACGGGCCGUGAGAGCGGUAGCCCGGAGAAGGACACUGAGAUACUGGUCCUAGCCCCACGGGGUGCAGCAGGCGCGUAACCUUUACAAUGCACGCAAGUGUGAUAAGGGGAUCCCAAGUGCUCAUGCAAAGCAUGGGCUUUUUUUCAAGUGUAAAUAACUUGGAGAAUAAGUGGUGGGAAAGACUGGUGCCAGCCGCCGCGGUAACACCAGCGCCACAAGUGGCAAUCAGUUUUAUUGGGCCUAAAGCGUCCGUAGCCGGUUAUGUAAAUCUUUUGUGAAAGUGUUGGGCCUAACUCAACAAAUGGCAGAAGACACUGCAUAACUAGAGACCGGGAGGAGUCAGAGGUAUUCAGGGGGGAGCGGUAAAAUGCAUUAAUCCCUUGAGGACCACCUAUGGCGAAGGCAUCUGACCAGAACGGAUCUGACGGUGAGGGACGAAAGCCAGGGGAGCGAACCGGAUUAGAUACCCGAGUAGUCCUGGCCGUAAACGCUGUGAGCAAGGUGUUGUACAUUCUACAUGGAUGUACAGUGUCGAAAUGAAGAUGUUAAGCUCACCGCCUGGGAAGUACGGUCGCAAGGCUGAAACUUAAAGGAAUUGGCGGGGGAGCACCACAAGGGGUGCGGCGUGCUGUUUAAUCUAACUCAACGCAGAGAACCUCACUAGGGGCGACGGCAGGAUGAAGGUCAGUCUGAAGGGCUUACCUGACGAGCCGAGAGGUAGUGCAUGGCCGUCGUCAGCUCGUGCUGUAAAGUGUCCAGUUAAGUCUGGCAACGAGCGAGACCUGUACCCACAAUUGCUAACGACCUCUGGGAUCGAGCACAUUGUGGGGACUGCCUUCGUAAGAAGGAGGAAGGUGCAGACUACGGUAGGUCUGUAUGCUCCGAAUCUCCUAGGCUACAAGCGCGCAACAAUGGUAGGGACAAUGGGAUGCAACUCCGAAAGGAGAAGCUAAACCUCUAAACCCUAUCCCAGUUCAGAUCGAGGGUUGGAACCCACCCUCGUGACGAUGGAAUCCCUAGUAAUCGGAAGUCAUCAUCUUCUGGUGAAUAUGUCCCUGCUCCUUGCACACACCGCCCGUCAAACCAACCGAGCAGGGUUUAGGUAAAAUUUAGCUUAUUGGCUAGAUUGAAUCUAAGCUCAGUGAGGUGGGUUAAGUCGUCACAAGGUA